AUAUUGAUGAGGAAUCCCACACUAAGACGAAACGGCAGUCCAAUAU
rnacentral:hammerhead_ribozyme from 1 species